rnacentral:rRNA from 1 species
CUGGCGGCAAGACUACACAUAGCAAGUCGAGCGGAUGAAGGGAGCUUGCUCCCUGAUUUAGCGGCGGACGGGUGAGUAAUGCCUAGGAAUCUGCCUGGUAGUGGGGGAUAACGUUCCGAAAGGAACGCUAAUACCGCGUACGUCCUACGGGAGAAAGCAGGGGACCUUCGGGCCUUGCGCUAUCAGAUGAGCCUAGGUCGGAUUAGCUAGUUGGUGAGGUAAUGGCUCACCAAGGCGACGAUCCGUAACUGGUCUGAGAGGAUGAUCAGUCACACUGGAACUGAGACACGGUCCAGACUCCUACGGGAGGCAGCAGUGGGGAAUAUUGGACAAUGGGCGAAAGCCUGAUCCAGCCAUGCCGCGUGUGUGAAGAAGGUCUUCGGAUUGUAAAGCACUUUAAGUUGGGAGGAAGGGCUGCUGGUUAAUACCCUGCAGUUUUGACGUUAACA